rnacentral:rRNA from 1 species
GAUGAACGCUGGCGGCGUGCCUAAUACAUGCAAGUCGAGCGAACAGACGAGGAGCUUGCUCCUCUGACGUUAGCGGCGGACGGGUGAGUAACACGUGGAUAACCUACCUAUAAGACUGGGAUAACUUCGGGAAACCGGAGCUAAUACCGGAUAAUAUAUUGAACCGCAUGGUUCAAUAGUGAAAGACGGUUUUGCUGUCACUUAUAGAUGGAUCCGCGCCGCAUUAGCUAGUUGGUAAGGUAACGGCUUACCAAGGCGACGAUGCGUAGCCGACCUGAGAGGGUGAUCGGCCACACGGGAACUGAGACACGGUCCAGACGCCGACGGGAGGCAGCAGUAGGGAAUCUGCCGCAAUGGGCGAAAGCCUGACGGAGCAACGCCGCGUGAGUGAUGAAGGUCUUCGGAUCGUAAAACUCUGUUAUUAGGGAAGAACAAAUGUGUAAGUAACUAUGCACGUCUUGACGGUACCUAAUCAGAAAGCCACGGCUAACUACGU